CCUACGGGGUGCAGCAGUGGGGAAUAUUGCACAAUGGGGGAAACCCUGAUGCAGCGACGCCGCGUGAGUGAGGAAGUAUUUCGGUAUGUAAAGCUCUAUCAGCAGGGAAGAAAAUGACGGUACCUGACUAAGAAGCUCCGGCUAACUACGUGCCAGCAGCCGCGGAAAUACGUAGGGGGCAAGCGUUAUCCGGAUUUACUGGGUGUAAGGGGAGCGUAGACGGCUAAUCAAGUCAGAAGUGAAAAACCAGGGCUCAACUUUGGGACUGGUUUUGAAACUGAGUAGCUAGAGUGCAGGAGAGGUAAGGGGAAUUCCUAGUGUAGCGGUGAAAGGCGUAGAUAUUAGGAGGAACACCAGUGGCGAAGGCGGCUUACUGGACUGUAACUGACGUUGAGGCUCGAAAGCGUGGGGAGCAAACAGGAUUAGAUACCCGGGUAGC
rnacentral:rRNA from 1 species